AUUCCCCCCCCAUAUAGUAUAACGCUUUAAGCGUGAAACUGCGUACGGCUCAUUACAACAGCAAUAAUUUACUUGAUCUUGACAACCUACAUGGAUAACUGUGGUAAUUCUAGAGCUAAUACAUGCACCAAAGCUCCGACCCGCGAGGGGAGAGCGCAUUUAUUAGAACAAAACCAAGCGGCUUCGGCCGUCCAUUGUUGACUCAGAAUAACUAAGCUGAUCGUACGGUCUUGUACCGACGACGUGUCUUUCAAGUUUCUGCCUUAUCAACUUUCGAUGGUAGUGUAUCUGACUACCAUGGUGGUGACGGGUAACGGAGGAUAAGGGUUCGACUCCGGAGAAGGGGCCUGAGAAAUGGCCACUACGUCUAAGGAUGGCAGCAGGCGCGCAAAUUACCCACUCUCAAUGCGAGGAGGUAGUGACGAGAAAUAACGAGGCCGUUCUCUUUGAGGCCGGUCAUCGGAAUGGGUACAAUUUAAACCCUUUAACGAGUAUCUAUGAGAGGGCAAGUCUGGUGCCAGCAGCCGCGGUAAUUCCAGCUCUCAAAAUGCAUAGAAUUAUUGCUGCGGUUAAAAAGCUCGUAGUUGGAUCUGUGCCUGUGCUCUGGUCCACCUCGCGGUGCGCACUGGGUGUCACAGGCUUUCCUGCAGUGUUCAGCCCCGGCGCCUUCACCGGCACCGGUGUGUUGAUGCUGCAAGUUUACUUUGAACAAAUCGGAGUGCUCCAAACAGGCGUUUGCUUGAACGUUCGUGCAUGGAAUAUUAGAAGAGGAUUUCGGUUCAAUUUUAUUGGUUUUAUUGGCCGAGAUAAUGGUUAACAGAGACAAACGGGGGCAUUUGUAUUGCUGCGUGAGAGGUGAAAUUCUUGGACCGUAGCAAGACAAACUACCGCGAAAGCAUUUGCCCAGAAUGUCUUCAUUAAUCAAGAACGAAAGUCAAAGGUCGAAGGGACAACCCCUCCUCU
rnacentral:rRNA from 1 species